GCCCGCCUAGCUCAAUCGGAUAGAGCGUCAGACUUUUACAAUUGUAAAUCUGAAGGCUGCGAGUUCGACCCUCGCGGUGGGCU
rnacentral:tRNA from 1 species